UUGCUGCUUGUGAGGCGGGAGGAGAGCAGCGCGCUGUGCUGCGGGCAACUGCUGCCGUUCCGUGCCUCGUCCUGAGGGCGCGCGGAGGCCGCACGUGUCGGACCUUCUGAGGAGAGUUAGGUGUCUGCCACGCCAGCCAGCGCCGAGAGCAGCCCCUGCCUGGGAUCGGGGCAAGUUCACCGCCGUGCCGCGUGUGUAAAAGCGUGCCGGCACGUUCUUGUUUUGCCCGCUGUAAAGUAGAAGAAUCACUUAAUGAUGAAUAAGUGCGUCUGCUUUGCUGCUUUAUGUUCCCAGACGAUGCAGCGUGUCGUUCUCACCUCAUUUUGGGUGCAAACAGCUACGGACAACUUGGCCUUGGUCAUAAAGAGGAUGUGCUGGUACCUCAGACACUGAAAGAUGUUUCCUGCAAAUGUCAAGACAUCAGGAGCAUCACUGGAGGAGGAGGACAUUCUGCAGUUAUCACUGGUGCUGGAGAACUCUUUGUAUGUGGCCAUAACAAAGAAGGGCAGUUGGGAUUGAAUCACACAGAAAAUGUGCUCUGUUUCACACUGUGCGCUGCCCUGUCUGGCUUCUGUGUGCAAGAAGUGGCCUGUGGCUGGGAUUUUACAAUCAUACUGGGAGGAGAUGGCCUUGUUCUGUCCUGUGGGUCUAAUGCUUUUGGGCAACUAGGAGUUCCUCAAAUUUCAGGCCCGUGCUUGAUUCCACAAAAGAUCGAGUCCCUCAAAGAGAAAGUAGUGGGUAUUGCUGCAGGACUGAGACAUGCCCUUGCUGCUACAGAGAGUGGUUUGGUGUUUCAGUGGGGAACUGGCAUGGCAUCUCGGGCAAGGCGUGCACACCAGGGGAAAAGCCUCCCUCUGUUCUGGACUGCAAAGGAACCCUGUGAAAUAAAAGGCCUGGAAGAUGUGAAGGCGAAGAGAGUUGCCGCAGGCUCCUACCAUUGUGUGUCUCUUACAGGUGAAGGACACCUCUAUGUCUGGGGUAGCAACAAACAUGGGCAGCUGGUGAGCAAAGAGAUAUUUCUUGUUGAGCCCAAGAAGAUCGACACUCAGUUUUUCUCACAUGAAAAGAUUGGAGCAGUUUGGAGUGGUUGGACUCACUUGGUGGCGCAGACAGAAACUGGGAAGGUAUUCACCUGGGGCAGAGCAGACUACGGACAGCUUGGAAGACAUGCAGUGGUUCCUGAUGGGCAGGAGACGUGCACAGCAUCUGAACAAUCUGUGAAGCUGUUUUGUAACAUUCCUAUUUCCUUGUCUUGCCUAAAUGGAGCAUCUCAGAUCGCAUGUGGCUCUGAGCAUAAUCUGGCAGUAGUUGAUAAGGAAGCACCGUUUCACUUUCACGCUGCUGCUCACCUUGCUGUCUGUAACUUCUGCCUUCCUGGUUUACACUGUGUACACAGUGGCUGUUGCUUCUCUUGGGGAUGGAACGAACAUGGGAUGUGUGGUGACGGCACAGAAGCAAACAUUCAUGUACCAAAGCCAGUGAAAGCUGUUGGUUACGCAGAACAGAUCUUAAUUGGAUGUGGGGCAGGACACUCCUUGGCUCUUUGUCAAAACUCCACGUUAGACUCAGGACACCAGAAAUCUUAGCAACAUGGAUGUGGAUGGACGUCGUUGGGUUGCGUAGCUCAGAAGUUCUUCAAGAAGAUUGCCUGAGAUUAACAUGGCAGCUGGAAAGUGUGGAAGUUUGUUCCCAAACUAUAAGAAAAGAGCGUGCUUAGAACAGCAUGGGAAAAAUAAAAAUCAAACAGUUAUUUUAAAAAAUUAUGUCAUGGGUUCUUUGUACAGGAAUUGACUUUCUUACCCACAGAUAGAAUGAUGUUUUGCCUUGACGCAAUAUUGAAGAAAGAAUGACUUUUUAAGAAGUCUUUGAGGAGGAAACUGCCUGUCUAAUCACUUAUCAUUAGUGUAAAAAUUCAGUCUAAAGUAAAAAAAAGAUUGAGGAAACAGUGUGAGAAGGUGGAAACAUGGGGCCAGCUCUGGUCUUUUAUUAUUGUAUCUGUAUGUCACGAUGAGCAUGUGUUGCACCUGCCAGCUUUUAUUGAAGUUUUGAACUCCCAGCAUCUUAAGAAAUCCAGUUGAAAAGAGAAAUGCCAGUGAACAUAAAUAGAGGCAUAUGCACAUUUUAAACAGAAGAUCAGAAUUUUGAAAAAGUAGAUAUGAUUUAGAAGACUGGCAAAAGGAGAAAAUGAGGCCCUUCUGAAAUAAGCUACGUGUUGAUUAAACUGAGAGGAACAGCGUUUCUGAGGAAUUAUCUUCUGUGCCAGACAUCCAUUCAAUAUAUAUUCACAGGGCUGCAGAUCCACACAAAUUAUUAUUAACUUGAAAAUUAAACCUAAAGUUCUUGAAGCUACUGAUAGGAAAGAGAAUCUUCUGAGAGCCCUUGGAAACAACAGAAGAGGUCUUGUCAAAGAGCGUAAGUCAGUUGUAGCUGCUGAGGACAGUUUGAUCCAACAUAGCUGAUGUAUUUGUAGCUGCAGCUGAAUAGGAAGGCUUCCAAAUACAAACAGAAACUUUUUACAAGUUCUCUAGCUUAAAAGGCAGACCAGAAUGCUCCUGGUAGCGUCAGCUCUCACAUCAGCUUGGCAGUCCAUCUGAGAUUCUGAUCAGAGAGUGCCCACAAUACUAGCCCCAGAACACUUUAAAAAGAGGCAACAUGGUAGAAACAGGAGAUGAGGCACAAAAAAUUGACAAGUCCCAGCCAAGGUAACUCAGCAUGUCUACAGCAGAACCAAGAAUAAAAUUCCAGUCUUAUGAUGCCCAGGCCAGGGCUCUGCUUCAGGCCAGCGGUCCUUGAAGUCUAUAGGUCAGCCUCGUGCUCCUACUUAUCUCCUUGCUUUCUUCAUCCUCCCCACUACCCCCACGGCUGGUUCUUCACAUACUCCCAACCCUGCUGUUUGCUCACCCCACUCUUUAGACCAGUCCUGUGUCCUUCUAUUCUCCCUGCACCACUAUCUUCCUGCCAUCCCUUCCUCUUUCCAUAGCUGUUGGUGUCACAUUGGCACAGCUGAGCUGCAUGCCUGCAGCCAUGUGUGCCCUCAGCGGUAACUGUGCCAAUAUGACAGCAACGCUCUGCCUGUGGCUGACUGACAAACCCCAUGGCGAGCAGUAGAGAAGCCAGUAAAGCCUUGGAGCACAUGCUCUUUGUAUGGAGAUGUUUGGGCCCUAAGUACUUGCAUACAGUUUUGGGAGAGUUGAGGUCUGGAAGCCUGGCCUGCUCAGCCAGGGCCAGGAAACUCAUCUUCCUGUGUUUUAUGUGAUAAGCAAAGCAAGUCAAGAGCUACAGUUCCUGGAUGUACUUUGUAAUUUGAGGCUGAACUUUAAUUUAAAUAUCGCUCUUGAUCACAAACAAGCAUUCAUAUUCCCAUGAAAGAGAAAGGGUGCACCUACACUCCUAGAUGAGUGCAGAAGCUUUGGGGCUUCUGAACAGACAGGUGUUUUAUGCCCAAACUCAAAUAAAUGAGUGACUUAAAAAUAACCUACGUAAUUGAAGCACAUCUUCACGAAAUGAAGUUAGUUUCUGGGAGUGCAGAGGCAAAGUUGUUCUCAGCGUAUAAAUGGAAAGCAGAGCGGGGUGCUGCUGCGCUUUGAAACCACGCAGAGGAUAUGCAAAGUGGCAGGCUAAUAACUCUGCUUGGGAUUGCCUCAGGAUAUCUUUCAUAAGCGGCUCAGAUCUCAGUUUCCUUGUGAGCGUCCUUGCCUUAGUCCUGCUCGCUCUCUGUUGUAUUUCAUUCUUCUCAUUUGUCCUAGCAGACAUUUGUUUCAGUGAUGUAUUUUCUUCUUGGACCUGAAACUUUAGGGAGAAAGAAGGCAAUUUAUGUGAAGAAUCACUUUAUCCAGAUUAAUGACUGCUGCACGUGACUGUUACCACUGUGGUAGUAGCUGGGUUCUUUGUUGGAGUCGGGGAGCAGAAACCACUCUUCAGGUCCAUGCUGUCUAAAGUGGCAGCUGUGGAGAGUGCUUUGCACAGCUGGGUUGCCCAGGAAAAGAAGGGCACAGGGCUGCACAUGUUUGGGGUGAGCUGCCUGUGAUAGACAGCAGCCCAUGUUGAGUGCCAGUUGGAGGAAGCAGUAGUAUUGAGGCAGGCUCAGCUGGUUGGCUGUCCAUUGCUGGGAGAUGAGGUUCCAGGGGAAGAAACCCGGAUGUUCACUUUCAGCAGGAAAGGGGCAGAGUUCAGCUCAGCUGCUGACUGUGCUACUGUUUUUACCUUGGCUGACAUUAGAAGCAUUUGGUGGCAUUAUUGCAAGUGUGAGGCCAGAAUUCAGCCACGCAUCUUAAUUCUUUUAUUAAAAUAUAUACCCCCUGUGAUGGGAGUGAGCAUGUUUGAAGAGUUUAAUGUUCUAAUAACCCAGAAAACCUCUUUGAAUGUAAAGCAGCUUGUAUGCUGUGUUAAGUUUCUCACUAAACUCAGUGUCAGGAUUUGGUGCAGCAGAUCCUACUGAAUGUAGGAUUAUACAUCAACUAUACAUCAACUUUCCAGUUGUUGGUGCUGCUUCUAUAGUGCAAGGGGAAGCAGUAGGGUCUUAAGCUGCAGAGCAUCACUUGAGGAGCACCAGGUAGGAAGUGCCAUUGAGUUUCUGAAGGGUUUACAGGGAGUGCCUGAAGGCACAGAUACCUUGAAUUAGAAAAAGGAAUACUGAAAGGAAAAUGGGGCUGGUAGAUGUGGUAGCGCAAAAAGUAGCGCAGAAUUACAGUUGCCUUAGGCCACGUGUACCCAACCUGUUCAUUAUAGCUAAAGCUCAUAUAUAUGCAAAGCACUGCAGAAGGGGAAGACCUAUGUGGGAUUUACAAGGCUGAAUUGUUCAUGUUCCUUAUUAUGGUAAUGGAGCAGUCUUCACACAAGGCCCUUGAGUUCUAGCAUUAAAUAAAAAAUGUGGGAAAUCUAUUUCUGUCUUCUUAAUAUGCUAUAAGAGGGAAAGUUGUUCAUUAGACAACUUUUGGAUCCUGGAUUAACCUGGAUCUUGUCUCUGAAGGUAAGAAAAUUGUCCGUUCAUUGGCUGUGAAAAACAGCUUAACGACAGUAGGAGAAAAAUACUUCUUAGGAGAGGGGAUAGUUGACUGAAGUAGAAAUUGAGUACGUACUGUUAGAAAGCUUCUUUGCAGUCCUUCAUCUAAUUAUGUUCUAGUUCACAUCAUCAGCCUUUCUCCUGUUCCUAAAACACAGCUGGAGGUCUCCUUCAUUCUUCUUUUGUAGCAGUUUUAUGAAGACAAAGUCCAGCUGCAGUUGGUUUUUGUUGUUGUUGCUUAUGGUUCAGCACUUACCGGAGCCAUGAGAGUUUCUUGUGUUUUUAUUUCAUUUUAAUCUCUACUUUCUCCAAGCUUUAGGGACGCUGUUCCAUUUUCAUUCACUUCCGCAGCCCCAGGUGUCAUAGCUUCUGUCUGAAAGGUUUCUAACUCUUUCAAAGAGCUUCAUGUGAGGAUAAAGAUGGAUGUAUCCUUCCUUCAAGAAAGUGCUUCUCCAAAAUGUUGUUGACGCAUAGUCCAUAGCUGCCAUUUCCAGGAUCUAAAGUGAAACCCAAUCCUAUUGUGUUUCUUGGUUCUUACUGCUGCAUGUUUUGUGUAGCAAAUAAAGCACUACUUGGGCACCUGGAUUUCUUUCAGGGUUUUGUAUCAGGUGGACUGCUGUGGCUCAAUAAAGAACAAGGGAAGGAUGAGGUCCAAGAAAGUAAGAAACUGAAUUCAUUUCAUCAGCUAAAAAGACAAACUUUUAUUAUUCUUGGGGAGGGAAAAGGAAGAUACCUAGAUAAUUAUAGAGCUUUUUAAUCUUUCCUCAUAAAAUUACUAAUGAUGUGGAUUCUUCAGACAUUGGUUGUAUCAAGUGUUUGCAGGCUUCAUUUAUUAUCUACUAACCCAAGUUAGCGUUUUAGAACCAAAGCAAUACCAAGCUUUUCUCCUACAGUUCUGUUGAGAACACUGUAUUUAUUCAAGGUUUUAGAAGCAAGUCUCUGGAAACCCCUGAUCACUUCUGAAAAGGAUUCCCUUUAACACUAUACAGCAGGCACUGAAACCAUGAUACAAAAUUUAUUUCAUGCUAGAAUUGUUUUGCAUAACAUUGUGCAUGCAUUUUUACUCAGUACUAAAUUGCAUACAAUGCUGUUGUCUUGUUUCUUAAACUUUGAGACAAUUUAUACUUGAGUAUUUUCCUGAUUUUUGUACUAUAAGUCCCAGUUUUAAAAUAACACCUUUUUCUUUUUAAAAAUUCAUACUGAUUACUUAAUAUGAACAAUUUAUGAAGGGUCUUUACGUUGGAUCUAUACAUCAAUAAAAUACAACAUAACCAGAGCUGGAAAAUUAAAUCUAGACCAGCUGUUACUGUCAGGUCCGAAGGAAGAUCCCAUGUGUCACAAGCAUGCCAACAAAAACAGACAGAAAAUAGUUUCUUAUUUUUAUACACAUCUAGGAUUAAAAGUUCUUGAUUUCCAUGUCGGUGUGAUGAUCUGUGAAGGCGUGGUCAAUAUGACCCAUGACUGCCUGAUUGCACUUUUU